CGCGUAGGCGGUCUUAUCGGUCAGAUGUGAAAGCCCGGGGCUCAACCCUGGAAGUGCAUUUGAAACAGUAAGACUUGAGUACGGGAGAGGAAAGCGGAAUUCCUGGUGUAGAGGUGAAAUUCGUAGAUAUCAGGAGGAACACCGAUGGCGAAGGCAGCUUUCUGGACCGAUACUGACGCUGAGGCGCGAAGGCGUGGGGAGCGAACG
rnacentral:rRNA from 1 species